rnacentral:misc_RNA from 1 species
UCCAGGUUAUCCCUGGCGGUCUCCUGAGAGUGCACACCUUUCGGUGUUAGCAACACAGGACAAGGGUUGCGCUCGUUGCGGGACUUAACCCAACAUCUCACGACACGAGCUGACGACAGCCAUGCAGCACCUGUGUUCCGACCUAUUGCUAGGAGGAAUCCAUCUCUGGAAACCGACCGGACAUGUCAAGGGCUGGUAAGGUUCUUCGCGUUGCGUCGAAUUAAACCACAUGCUCCACCGCUUGUGCGGGCCCCCGUCAAUCUCUUUGAGUUUUAACCUUGCGGCCGUACUCCCCAGGCGGAUAACUUAAUGCGUUAGCUGCGCCACCAAAAGCCCAUGGCCCCUGACAGCUAGUUAUCAUCGUUUACGGCGUGGACUAC